UACGGGGGGGGCAAGCGUUGUUCGGAAUUACUGGGCGUAGAGGGCUCGUAGGCGGCCAACUAAGUCAAACGUGAAAUCCCUCGGCUUAACCGGGGAACUGCGUCUGAUACUGGAUGGCUUGAGGUUGGGAGAGGGAUGCGGAAUUCCAGGUGUAGCGGUGAAAUGCGUAGAUAUCUGGAGGAACACCGGUGGCGAAGGCGGCAUCCUGGACCAAUUCUGACGCUGAGGAGCGAAAGCCAGGGGAGCAAACGGG
rnacentral:rRNA from 1 species